AUUGAACGCUGGCGGCAUGCUUUACACAUGCAAGUCGAACGGCAGCGCGGGCUUCGGCCUGGCGGCGAGUGGCGAACGGGUGAGUAAUGCAUCGGAACGUGCCCAGUAGUGGGGGAUAGCCCGGCGAAAGCCGGAUUUAUACCGCAUACGACCUGAGGGUGAAAGCGGGGGACCGAAAGGCCUCGCGCUAUUGGAGCGGCCGAUGUCGGAUUAGCUAGUUGGUGGGGUAAAGGCUUACCAAGGCGACGAUCCGUAGCUGGUCUGAGAGGACGACCAGCCACACUGGGACUGAGACACGGCCCAGACUCCUACGGGAGGCAGCAGUGGGGAAUUUUGGACAAUGGGGGCAACCCUGAUCCAGCCAUGCCGCGUGCGGGAAGAAGGCCUUCGGGUUGUAAACCGCUUUUGUUCGGGAAGAAAUCCUCUGGGCUAAUACCCCGGGGGGAUGACGGUACCGGAAGAAUAAGCACCGGCUAACUACGUG
rnacentral:rRNA from 1 species